GACGAACGCUGGCGGCGUGCUUAACACAUGCCAGUCGAACGGAAAGGCCCUGCUUUUGUGGGGUGCUCGAGUGGCGAACGGGUGAGUAACACGUGAGUAACCUGCCCUUGACUUUGGGAUAACUUCAGGAAACUGGGGCUAAUACCGGAUAGGAGCUCCUGCGGCAUGGUGGGGGUUGGAAAGUUUCGGCGGUUGGGGAUGGACUCGCGGCUUAUCAGCUUGUUGGUGGGGUAGUGGCUUACCAAGGCUUUGACGGGUAGCCGGCCUGAGAGGGUGACCGGCCACAUUGGGACUGAGAUACGGCCCAGACUCCUACGGGAGGCAGGAGUGGGGAAUAUUGCACAAUGGGCGGAAGCCUGAUGCAGCAACGCCGCGUGCGGGAUGACGGCCUUCGGGUUGUAAACCGCUUUCGCCUGUGACGAAGCGUGAGUGACGGUAAUGGGUAAAGAAGCACCGGCUAACUACGUG
rnacentral:rRNA from 1 species